GCUCGAGUGGCGAACGGGUGAGUAACACGUGGGUGAUCUGCCCUGCACUUUGGGAUAAGCCUGGGAAACUGGGUCUAAUACCGAAUAGGACUCUGCGCUUCAUGGCGUGGGGUGGAAAGCUUUUGCGGUGUGGGAUGGGCCCGCGGCCUAUCAGCUUGUUGGUGGGGUAAUGGCCUACCAAGGCGACGACGGGUAGCCGGCCUGAGAGGGUGUCCGGCCACACUGGGACUGAGAUACGGCCCAGACUCCUACGGGAGGCAGCAGUGGGGAAUAUUGCACAAUGGGCGCAAGCCUGAUGCAGCGACGCCGCGUGGGGGAUGACGGCCUUCGGGUUGUAAACCUCUUUCAGCCACGACGAAGCGCAAGUGACGGUAGUGGUAGAAGAAGCACCGGCCAACUACGUGCCAGCAGCCGCGGUAAUACGUAGGGUGCGAGCGUUGUCCGGAAUUACUG
rnacentral:rRNA from 1 species